GACAGAGUGGGCCAAGCGUUUAGGCGGAAUUCACUGGGGCUUAAAAGGCGUGUGUAGGCGGACUUGUAAGUACCUUGUGAAAAUCCCACCGGGCUCAACCGUGGAACUGCUUUGGUAUACUGCUUGUCUUGAGCCACUUAGGGGCUACCGGAACAAAUGGUGGAGCGGUGAAAUGCGUAGAUAUCAUUUGGAACGCCAAUGGUGAAAACAGGUAGCUGGGAGUGUGCUGACGCUGAGACACGAAAAGCCAGGGGAGGCGAACGGG
rnacentral:rRNA from 1 species